AUUGAACGCUGGCGGCAGGCCUAACACAUGCAAGUCGAGCGGAUGAAGGGAGCUUGCUCCUGGACUCAGCGGCGGACGGGUGAGUAAUGCCAGGAAUCUGCCUGGUAGUGGGGGAUAACGUCCGGAAACGGGCGCUAAUACCGCAUACGUCCUGAGGGAGAAAGUGGGGGAUCUUCGGACCUCACGCUAUCAGAUGAGCCUAGGUCGGAUUAGCUAGUUGGUGGGGUAAAGGCCUACCAAGGCGACGAUCCGUAACUGGUCUGAGAGGAUGAUCAGUCACACUGGAACUGAGACACGGUCCAGACUCCUACGGGAGGCAGCAGUGGGGAAUAUUGGACAAUGGGCGAAAGCCUGAUCCAGCCAUGCCGCGUGUGUGAAGAAGGUCUUCGGAUUGUAAAGCACUUUAAGUUGGGAGGAAGGGCAGUAAGUUAAUACCUUGCUGUUUUGACGUUACCAACAGAAUAAGCACCGGCUAACUUCGUG
rnacentral:rRNA from 1 species